rnacentral:rRNA from 1 species
AUUGAACGCUGGCGGCAGGCCUAACACAUGCAAGUCGAACGAGUGGCGGACGGGUGAGUAAUGUCUGGGAAACUGCCUGAUGGAGGGGGAUAACUACUGGAAACGGUAGCUAAUACCGCAUACCAUCGGAUGUGCCCAGAUGGGAUUAGCUAGUAGGUGGGGUAACGGCUCACCUAGGCGACGAUCCCUAGCUGGUCUGAGAGGAUGACCAGCCACCCUGGAACUGAGACACGGUCCAGACUCCUACGGGAGGCAGCAGUAGGGAAUAUUCGACAAUGGGCGCAAGCCUGAUGCAGCCAUGCCGCGUGUAUGAAGAAGGCCUUCGGGUUGUAAAGUACUUUUAGCUGGGAGGCGUUACCCGCAGAGGAAGCACCGGCUAACUCCGUGCCAGCAGCCGCGGUAAUUC